rnacentral:rRNA from 1 species
ACCUGUGUGACUGCGUACCUUUUGUAUAAUGGGUCAGCGACUUAUAUUCUGUAGCAAGGUUAACCGAAUAGGGGAGCCGGAGGGAAACCGAGUCUUAAUUGGGCGUUAAGUUGCAGGGUAUAGACCCGAAACCCGGUGAUCUAGCCAUGGGCAGGUUGAAGGUUGGGUAACACUAACUGGAGGACCGAACCGACUAAUGUUGAAAAAUUAGCGGAUGACCUGUGGCUGGGGGUGAAAGGCCAAUCAAACCGGGAGAUAGCUGGUUCUCCCCGAAAGCUAUUUAGGUAGCGCCUCGUGAAUUCAUCUCCGGGGGUAGAGCACUGUUUCGGCUAGGGGGCCAUCCCGGCUUACCAACCCGAUGCAAACUGCGAAUACCGGAGAAUGUUAUCACGGGAGACACACGGCGGGUGCUAACGUCCGUCGUGAAGAGGGAAACAACCCAGACCGCCAGCUAAGGUCCCAAAGUCAUGGUUAAGUGGGAAACGAUGUGGGAAGGCCCAGACAGCCAGGAUGUUGGCUUAGAAGCAGCCAUCAUUUAAAGAAAGCGUAAUAGCUCACUGGUCGAGUCGGCCUGCGCGGAAGAUGUAACGGGGCUAAACCAUG